rnacentral:tRNA from 1 species
UCCUCGGUAGUAUAGUGGUGAGUAUCCCCGCCUGUCACGCGGGAGGCAGGUGUUCAAUUCCCCGCCGGGGAG